CUUAAAUAGGGCCCUGGGAUGAGGCACCUGUGACAGGGAGGGGUGCAAAACCAAGGAGCUGGCUAGACUCCUAAAUAUAUAUUUAUAUGAAUAAGGAUAAAUAAACUGUUCUGGUGUACUUAGUGUACUACACAGAGUAGAGGGAGACAGACUCGCACUAAGCUGCUCAAACUGGAAACAAUAGGGAUUCACUAAAAAAACUAUAUAGAUGACAGAUAAAAAUCACCUUAAAAAUAAAGUGUAUAACUCCAGGAGCUAGUUAGUGACUGAUGG